GACGAACGCUGGCGGCGUGCUUAACACAUGCAAGUCGAACGAUGUGGCGAACGGGUGAGUACUACGUGGGUAACCUGCCCUCCUUUUUGGGAUAAGCCUUGGAAACGGGGUCUAAUACCGAAUAAAGGGGGAUGGGUGCGCGGCCUAUCAGCUUGUUGUUGGGUGGAUGGCCUACGAAGGCGGUGACGGGUAGCCGGCCUGUGAGGGUGACCGGCCACAUUGGGAGUGCGAUACUGCUCAGAGUCCGACGGGAAGCAGCAGUUGGGGAUAGUACACAAUGGGCGAAAGCCGGAGGCAGAGAAGCCGAGUGGGGUAUGAAGGCUUGCGAGUUGUAAACCUCUUUCGCUAUCGAACGGGUAGGUAGAGAGAAAGCGCCGGCUAACUACGUGCCAGCAGCCGCGGUAAUAC
rnacentral:rRNA from 1 species